rnacentral:rRNA from 1 species
CGGGCGACCGGCGCACGGGUGAGUAACGCGUAUGCAACUUACCUAUCAGGAGGGGAGUAACCCGGCGAAAGUCGGACUAAUACCGCAUGAAGCAGGGGCCCCGCAUGGGGAUAUUUGCUAAAGAUUCAUCGCUGAUAGAUAGGCAUGCGUUCCAUUAGGCAGUUGGCGGGGUAACGGCCCACCAAACCGACGAUGGAUAGGGGUUCUGAGAGGAAGGUCCCCCACAUUGGUACUGAGACACGGACCAAACUCCUACGGAAGGCAGCAG